AGCUUUGCAUAGCAGUCGUAUUGGAGCCAAUGAGGUUUAUCUGAGGUGCGAUUAUGGCUAAUUUAAAACUUCUCCAAUACCCCGCUGUGACCACUUGCAAUAUAAUCGGCAUCGGCAAUUUUUGACAGUCUCUACAGAGA
ensembl:snRNA U4 U4 spliceosomal RNA